UUCAGACGAUGCGUCAUGCAUAUCAAUAAGCGGAGGAAAAGAAACUAACAAGGAUUCCCCUAGUAACGGCGAGUGAAGCGGGAAGAGCUCAAAUUUGAAAUCUUAAAGGGUUUCCCUUUACGAAUUGUAGUUUAAAGAAGUGUUUUCUGUUGAGGUUUUGGUAAAAGUUCUUUGGAAUAGGACAUCAUAGAGGGUGAGAAUCCCGUAUUUGACCUUUACUUUCAACUUUGUGAUACACUUUCAAGGAGUCGGAUUGUUUGGGAAUGCAGUCCAAAAUGGGUGGUAAAUUUCAUCUAAAGCUAAAUAUUGGCGAGAGACCGAUAGCGAACAAGUACCGUGAGGGAAAGAUGAAAAGAACUUUGAAAAGAGAGUUAAACAGUACGUGAAAUUGUCAAAAGGGAAGCGUUUGACACCAGUGUUGUUUUUCUGAAAAUCAAUUAAAGAACUGUUUAUGCUAAGCUGUUUAGACUUUAUCAGCUAAUCUGUUUAGUUUUGAGCUUUUCUUUAAUGCACUUUUCAGUUAACAAGUCAACAUCAAUUUCUUUUGCUGUAAAAAAGCUUGAGGAAGGUGGCUUGAGAUUCGUCUUAAGUGUUUAUAGCCUCUUGCCUAUGCAGUCGGAGAGAUUGAGGUCUGCAGCGUAGAUCCCUUCGGGGCUAAAUGCAUUUGUGCUAAGUUAUAGCAUUUUAUAGACAACUUGUUGACUAUGAUUUGUCUUGUAGCUUACUCGCUUAUGUUAUUUUACCUACGCUUAGGAUGUUGAGCGCAUGUCUCUCUCU
rnacentral:rRNA from 1 species